AUCUUCAGGGCAGGGUGCAAGUCCCUACCGGCGGUAAAGCCCGCGAGCGAAAGCAGAUUUGGUGUAAUUCCAAAGCCGACAGUUAAAGUCUGGAUGAGAGGAGAUA
rnacentral:ncRNA from 1 species